GAUUCCCUGUUGGGUCAUUGUUUGUGUUACCCCCUGUCUGUUGUGGCUUUGGUUUCCCAGUCUUGUUCAGUGUUUUUGUCUUGCUAUUUUCAGCUCAUGGUGUUUUGGAUUACCUGUUCUGGAUUUUUUUUUUUGUUACUCAUUUGGAUUUUUCUGGACUCAGCCACUCAGUCUAGCAUCCUGGGAUCGUUGCCUCACUCAGAUGGCUUAGAGGCAAUGAAAACCUGAAAGGACCAGCUGGACCCUCACAAGCUCAAUGUGCUCAUAGUGUGGAAUCAGAUGUCCCACCUGGUGCCAGACAGCUUCAGAGACCUGGAAAGCAUCCUCAGUGUGCUGGACCUCUGUAUCUGA